GCCCAGACUCCUACGGGAGGCAGCAGUAGGGAAUCUUUCACAAUGGGCGAAAGCCUGAUGGAGCAACGCCGCGUGCAGGAUGAAGGCCUUCGGGUUGUAAACUGCUUUUAUAAGCGAGAAAUAUGAUGGUAACUUAUGAAUAAGCAUCGGCUAACUCCGUGCCAGCAGCCGCGGUAAUACGGGGGAUGCGAGCGUUAUCCGGAUUUAUUGGGUUUAAAGGGUGCGUAGGCGGCGCUUCAGGUCAGCGGUGAAAUACCGGGGCUCAACCCCGGGGCUGCCGUUGAAACCGGAGCGCUAGAAUUCCGAUGCCGUCGGAGGAAUGUGUGGUGUAGCGGUGAAAUGCAUAGAUAUCACACAGAACACCGAUUGCGAAGGCAUCUGACGAAUCGGAGAUUGACGCUGAUGCACGAAAGCGUGGGUAUCGAACAGGAUUAGAUACCCGCGUA
rnacentral:rRNA from 1 species